rnacentral:sRNA from 2 species
ACUAAUUUUCAACGGGGGGCUGUCCACCACAAUAUUUUAAUACAAAGUGCAUCUUCCACUCUCUAUCUUGUCUGAGAUUAAACAGCGGUAACAGCCUGCAUUUCUACAUGUUGUAUGUCCAGUACAGGGAAUAUCAGCACAAGGUGGAAAUCGCUGUAGUAAUGAAUGACGCUUUAUUACUGGAGAAAAUGGUCUUUGACUCUUCUGUAAAAGUGGGAGAGGAUAAAGAUCCGUAGAUGGAUGCCAAAUUGCCUUCUCUUCAACCUGAAAACUAUCAAUAUUAUUCCAUAUAUUUAAUAAAUGAUUGUUAAUAUCUUUUGAAUACAAGCC